GGUUGUGGUUCAGUGGUAGAGCGCUUGUCUCGCACAUGUGAGGCACUGGGUUCGAUCCUCAGCACCCCA
rnacentral:tRNA from 1 species